rnacentral:rRNA from 1 species
AUAUUGCGCAAUGGGGGAAACCCUGACGCAGCAACGCCGCGUGAGUGAGGAAGGUCUUCGGAUUGUAAAACUCUUUUCUUAGGGAAAAAUGGCUUUGUGGCUAAUAUCCACGAAGCGUGAUGGUACCUAAGGAAUAAGCACCGGCUAACUUCGUGCCAGCAGCCGCGGUAAUACGAAGGGUUCAAGCGUUGUUCGGAAUCAUUGGGCGUAAAGCGCGCGCAGGCGGAUCAGUAAGUCAGGUGUGAAAUCUCGGAGCUCAACUCCGAAAGUGCGCCUGAAACUACUAGUCUAGAAUGUCGGAGGGGGCAGGGGAAUUUCACGUGUAGGGGUAAAAUCCGUAGAGAUGUGAAGGAACACCGGAGGCGAAGGCGCCUGCCUGGACGACUAUUGACGCUGAGGCGCGAAAGCGUGGGGAGCAAACAGG